rnacentral:lncRNA from 1 species
UUUUAAAUGAAAGCUCUAUCUUUAAUAACAAAAAAGUUAUGCAAAAUUUUCGAUCUAAAAAAGUACAUGUUAAUUGUAAAAAACCGAAAUUUGGAUUUUUUUCAAAAACUACAAUUUUUUUAGUUUUUGAUUAUUACGUACAAGGUGCCCCUUUGUGAGGAGUACUUGGCAGUUUUUAAAUGAAAGCUCUAUCUUUAAUAACAAAAAAGUUAUGCAAAAUUUUCGAUCUAAAAAAGUACAUGUUAAUUGUAAAAAACCGAAAUUUGGAUUUUUUUCAAAAACUACAAUUUUUUUAGUUUUUGAUUAUUACGUACAAGGUGCCCCUUUGUGAGGAGUACUUGGCAGUUUUUAAAUGAAAGCUCUAUCUUUAAUAACAAAAAAGUUAUGCAAAAUUUUCGAUCUAAAAAAGUACAUGUUAAUUGUAAAAAACCGAAAUUUGGAUUUUUUUCAAAAACUACAAUUUUUUUAGUUUUUGAUUAUUACGUACAAGGUGCCCCUUUGCGAGGAGUACUUGGCAGUUUUUAAAUAAAAGCUCUAUCUUUAAUAACAAAAAAGUUAUGCAAAAUUUUCGAUCUAAAAAAGUACAUGUUAAUUGUAAAAAACCGAAAUUUCGAUUUUUUUCAAAAACUACAAUUUUUUUAGUUUUUGAUUAUUACGUACAAGGUGCCCCUUUGCGAGGAGUACUUGGCAGUUUUUAAAUGAAAGCUCUAUCUUUAAUAACAAAAAAGUUAUGCAAAAUUUUCGAUCUAAAAAAGUACAUGUUAAUUGUAAAAAACCGAAAUUUCGAUUUUUUUCAAAAACUACAAUUUUUUUAGUUUUUGAUUAUUACGUACAAGGUGCCCCUUUGCGAGGAGUACUUGGCAGU